UGCUACAAUAAUGGAGAACGGAAAACUACACAACGGAGGAGUUUCUUCAUCGGAAACUUUCAACGGCGGUGAAGAUGUAUAUAGUUCUAAACAGUCUGAUGUUUCUACCGCCGAUCAUCUUGUUAUGAUGGUACACGGUAUUCUCGGAAGUGCUUCGGACUGGAAGUUUGGUGCGGAGCAGUUUGUUCGGAAUCUUCCCGACAAAGUUUUUGUUCAUUGCAGUGAACGUAAUAUGGCUAAACUAUCGUUGGAUGGUGUGGAUGUAAUGGGAGAGCGAUUA
rnacentral:misc_RNA from 1 species